GAGGCCUCUCACGUUGCUCUGGACGGCUCCGUAUAUUAAUAACUUCACAGGCAACAUUAAAACAUGGGUUAAAAAUUACAGUUAUGAGACAGAAUACAUUGUUUUCUCAGCUGUUUUUUAUUCAGUUCUGUUUAAAUCUGCCGUGGACAAGAGUCUGAAUUACGCUGGAUUUGAGGGAGUCAUGAUUAUAAUUCUCUUUGUGAUUGUGAUUCUGUUCACCCUCUUCUAUAUUAUUUACUUGUUGACUGACUUCACUGGUAAAUUAAGUGAACGGAUCACUACUAUAUUCGUUCUUCUGGCUGGAAUAAGUUUUGAUGUUCUGCCUUCACUUCAGUUCAUCCUCAUCUUCUUCUCCUUUGGAUCAAUUAAAGGAGGAUUCAUCAUUGUUGCAGUUUUACCAGUGUUUACCACAGUGACGAGAUACAACUGGGACGCAUUAUGUGGUCAACAGAUGGGCUGUUCACCUGCGGUCAGAAGAUCAGUGUGGUUAACUCUCAUGAUGCUGAUCAAUGCUGUAUUGGUCUAUUUCUACAUCACAGCUCUGGAAAAUGAAAAGGAUCGUGUCGGAUGGACCUGUGUGAUUGUGUUUCUCCAGUCUCUCUGGGCACUGGUCAACUUCACACGGUCAUUUCAGUCAUUCGCUCUUCCCAGUGUUGUAGCUGUGUAUGUGUUUGGAUCAGUCGGUGUUGUGUUACUGAACUCUGUUGCUCUGAUGACUGAACUGAUCCUCAAAACAGGUGAUCAUCACACACUACACAAUUACUGUCAUAUAUCUGCAUAUAUUAAUGCUUAUUAUAAAGGACGGCUCGUGUCCAGUCGGACCGGGUCUGGGCUCAGUCACUGUCUGCAGUCAGCAAAAAAAAAUCACAUCGUGUGUGGUGUCUAAAGAUUAUAAUCUUAGAAUUCAAAAAACAGUUGGUUUCACAAGUUUUUUUUUUUUUUUAAACAUGUUUAAUAUUCGUGACUUACGCCAGCGAGUGUAUAUGAGGCUAUGAAGAUGUGUUCACUGUCAAACAACAUUUAAGGUUCAUUUUGUCAAGUAUUUUUCUUUUCUUUUAAGCUAUUACCUAAAUAAACUGCGAAAAGAAACAUCA
ensembl:lncRNA